rnacentral:rRNA from 1 species
CAGUCGCCGCGGUAAAACGAAGGGGGCUAGCGUUGCUCGGAAUGACUGGGCGUAAAGGGCGCGUAGGCGGCGAUCAAAGUCAGGCGUGAAAUUCCUGGGCUCAACCUGGGGGCUGCGCUUGAUACUUGGUUGCUUGAGUGGGGAAGAGGGUCGUGGAAUUCCCAGUGUAGAGGUGAAAUUCGUAGAUAUUGGGAAGAACACCGGUGGCGAAGGCGGCGACCUGGUCCUUGACUGACGCUGAGGCGCGAAAGCGUGGGGAGCAAACAGGAUUAGAUACCCCAGUAGUCCCUGUCUCUUAUAC